UUACUCAUGCGUGCUGAUAUGAUGACAAAAGCAUUAAAUAUUAAUACAAACUUGAGGCUUGCCAUUAAUUAUAAUAUGAACAAGAAGAAGAAGAAGAAGAAGUAGUGAUGUAUGUGAAAUAAAAGCUAAGUGUGUUUUGGAGUGUUGAAAGCUUGAAUUUGGUGACCUGAAGUGGCAUUUACCAU